GUCUCGGCUAAAUCAAAGAACUGCAUAUAAACACCACCUAUACCCAAAACUUCCAAGUCGAUUGUAGAGACCUCGGAAAUGUGAAAUUCUUUUAGUCACUUGGGCAAGUUAUAGGCUUGACUAUUAUUUUGUUAUUUAAGUUAUUAAUUUGAAUUACAAUUUUUUUUUAUUUUACGUAAUUCAUUCCGAGUAUUUCUUAAAAUACUUAUCUGUACUUAAAUAAAAACUAAUCAGCAAACUUUGUUUGCAAAUUGUAUCGAUUUUAUAUUAGCCGAAGGAACUUCGUUCCUACCUGGUGUCCCACGACACCACAUUUCUUUUUUUAUAUAUAAGAUGAAUGGACCUUGGUGAUCUUCAUCGUAUGUAAGUUUUUCCGGGUUGAAUAUGUUUGGUGUGUUUGUUGUUGAUAGUGGUUUUAUUAUAAUGUUGCUUUCAAUAUUAAUUUUAUCAUUAACAUAUUUUGCUUUUUUGGUAGAUUCUUUCACAUUAUAAGCCCAGGAGCCCUCGGGCUCUUCAGCCUCUACGUCCAUUUUGUGUUUUUGUUUGAUUAUUAUUAUUCUUUUUUUUUAAUUUCAGGUUUGAACUAUAUUUUAUUUUAUUUUUUUAAUUAUAAACUGCAAUUUAUCACGAAUUUGAUCACUGAUCUUUAACGGAUUUCAAGUAUAGCUGUAAACAACUGUUCAGGAUGGUCGAAUUUUUUUGAAAAUUAUCUACUUGGGGUUCAACGUUGCGCACUCUUCGUUGGGUGCGGGCUUUCUUCCACCGAAGUUAUCCCUUUUUGAUUCUGCUGUCACGUCCUGUUUAGUAGUUUGAGCCCCAGCGCGAGGCACUUCUUAAGGGCCUUUACUCGAUUAACUUAUUCAGUCGCGACUAGCACGUUGGGCGCCAGUUAUUUAUUUAUUUGUUCACAUUUAAAACACAAUUAUUAUUUGGCAGCGAGCCGUGUGUUUAUUGUUGAAACCCAAACUUAGAAUUAAUUACAAAAAUCUUCUUCUCGUUGAGAAAGCUAGAAAGCUAAAAAAACAAAAUUGUUUUCGCGUUUAACAACGGUGCUGCAUGGAUGGCAGCGCGACCGCGUUACUUUAUUGAUUGACAUAAAAUGUGCCUAAAAUUAGUGAUUAACAUAAUUUUAUACCUAAAUUCCGUCUAGCCUGCAGUGUGGUGGCGUGAUGCACUUCCAGGAAUUGGCUUGUGAAGGUGCAUAAGCAUUUCGGGUGCGCGUGUCGGAAGUCAAGUCGUUGUUACUGAAACUGCUGCGGCGAUUUGCUUAAGUCAGUAAGUUAUGUAGUAGUUGCGCAAGUUAUGUUGUCGAAUUGUUGCUAGGUGUUGUAUUAACUUGCGUGAUGUGGUAUUGGUUUGUUGCUAAGUGAGACAUAUACAUAUGUAUGGCUGGGUGUUAACUUGCACCAAAGCUUUUAUACAUUAACGCGGACAUUUAACACCACACUUUUCCUUCAAUUUGCGUGCAAAUGAAGUCCAUCCCACGAUAUCCAUUAUGUUCAGUUUGCUGUCACAAAACGUUUGCACAUCAGUUGAAAUUAAGUAAAUUGUUUACAAGUCUCAUUAUGGUCCAUCUGCUCGCAGGAUUGCCGCCAAACGUGCGCCUAUACUCUCUUUGAACUGAAACUACGGACUCCAGUGCGUGAUAGCGGCGGACAGUCCAAAUUCUUGUUUCAGUGUCCCAGUUAUCCAUUUUUGUUAACCCUUUCAGGACCAUAAGGUUAUGGGACCUUAUGCAAGUAUUUUAGCUAUUUAUAUUGACUCAUUAGGUCUAUAAAAAAUAAAUUUUCAAAUCAAAACACACUAAACUAUUAUAGUUUUUUUGGAAUUUUUUGGGACACCGAUGUCCCUAUGGUCGAUAAGAGAUACGUUUCACUCAAACAAUCUCAAUUUUACUUUUAUUAAGUUUGCUUGUGAGAAUGGGGUAAUAGGUUAAUAAAUACGCUUAUAUUAUAGAAAUACUGUUUAUUAGUUAUGAUAAUCAGCAAAACAAUUUCUCUCAUUGGUAUAACAUAGGUGAACGUUACACAGAACACACAUAUUGUUUGUUCGAUUUUCUUUUUUAUAUUUCGCACAAUUUGCACACCUCUUUCUGGUGGAGGAUUUUUCCAUGGGGUGCAUCGAUAAUUGCCGCUUCACAUAUUUGCUCACUGCACUAUUUUUUGUAGUAGGGACUCCACGUUGUCUAGUACUGUAGCCGUUUACCAAACUCCUGGCGACUACCUGUCUGAACUGUAAGGUGGACAGCAGGCUUCCCUCUAAUUGCUUUUCACUGUGCAGCUUAGUAUAUAUGGUAUGUGCAUUAUUUACCGAUAUAUCGAACAAAUCGAAGAAAAGGCGAAGGUAGUACUUUAUCUUCGAUCUUCGAUCUAUUUCAUAGCACACCUUACGUUGAUCCAUAAGAUCUACUCCACCCAUAUUUUUAUUAUAAUGUGACACAAUCCUAGGACAUUUGACAUCAAUUUUGUCGGCUGAACCAGCUUUGCGGCGCUUUACGAUGUCCGUUUCUACAGGCAACAAAAAGUUGGUCAACAAAUGUACUCCUUUAUUAUCCAUCCAUUUGACAUAACUUAUGCCAUGAAAACUCGUUGAGUAAAUAUCGCCACGCUUCAUUGUUUUGUCAGCAGGUGCAGUUUUUGGAAGUUGUUUCCUGUUAGUUCGAAGUGUUCCACACGCCUUAGUAUUCUGAUCAAUCAGCUUAUAUUGUAGUAAAGGUGAAUUGAAGAAGUUGUCCAUAUAAAUUUCACAUCCUAAGCCUUCAACCUUUUUCGUUAGCUGUAGUACUAUUGAUUCACCUAAUCCAUACUCGAUUCCAGAAGUUCGUUUGCGUUUGUAGAUGAACCGUUUACAGAUCAAAUUCAAAUAGAUAACCGGUCGCAGCAUCACAUCGGCACCAUAAUUUGAAGCCCCAUUUGACAGGCUUAUUGCUUCAUUACAUUAUGACCCUUAAAUUUUAUCAUAUGCUCGUCGAUUGAUUGUUUUACUUUGUUAUUGAGGGCAUUUUGAAACGAUACAUUGAAAUGCUCUAUUAUUGGCCGAACUUUGUAUGCCCUAUCAUAAUUAGAGCUAGUUGUGUCUCUUACCGCUUCCUUGUUACAGAAAUGUAGGUUCCGGCGAAUGUCUUCGAAUCGAGCCCUUGGCAUAACAUUCGAUAUGAAUUGUACUGCCAUGUCUGGUUCUGUAGACCAGUAAUCCCUCAAUGAUGGCAAGAUAUGAUAGCCCAUGACUACAUUCAUCCCUAGAAAUGCUUUCAUUUCUUCGAGAUCAAUAGUAAACUCCCGUCCAUUUUGAUGAGCAUAUCGUAUUGACUCCGAUACUAUAUAUUGCACUAAAUUAUCAAAAUUUGUCGCUGAACAAAAUAUAUCAAAGAGAGUCAAUAGUCCAUUUUCAGCUUCUUGACAGAUUUGCACUUUCCCGAAGUCGUAUUCCACAUCACGAAAAACAUUUGGUGCGUAUGUUCUCGAAUUCCACUUGAAGACGGUUUGAUGCUGUGCUUCGUUUACAGGUGCUGAUGUGGAAGGCUCAGGUCUUGUUGAGUCAGUAUGUUCAGUUAUCGUACCGUCAAUUUCCACGUCCACAAUCCCUUGAUCAUCAUGCUGAGUCAAAAGCCUUUGAUCCUCUUCGUCAAGCAGUAAAUUGCCCUCUUCGUCACUGUUAUCAGCCAUCAAAAUCUGUUGCACUUCAUUUUCUUUAAGUUCGAAAAGGCCGCGUCCUUUGCGAAACAUAAUCUGUAACGACACGAAUAAGAAAAUGAAGGGUAACUGACGAAAAACAUCAGUACGACAACAUAAUUAUUCCUCAUAAAUAGUAUCUCUCUACGGCCAUAGGGACAUCGGUGUCCCUUUAUGUUUAUUAUGACUUAUCGUUAUACACAACAUAAAUAAUAGUUUUAUAAAUAUAUAAAAUAAAAAUUUACUUACCAGGCUAUGAUUAUUUCACACUGUAAAUUCUUAAAGAAUAGUUUUACACCUUUUAUGCACUGUUACAAAAUACUCGAUUCGCGCGCUUAACGAAGUCUCAGUUUUCAAUAGCCAUAGACAAAGAACGAUAUUUUUUUUGUGUUGCCAGCAUAUAAAAUGAAAAACGUACGUUCAAAAACUAUAAGAUAAAAUAACAAAAAGAUAAAAUAAGUUUUUUAAUUACUGUUUUAUUGUAUUAUUUCUAUUUGGGACACCGGUGUCCCCGUGGUCGACAAAGGGUUAAACACCCAUGUAAGACAUUUACAAAGGGAAGUGGUAACUUUGAUAGCCACAUUUGAGAAUACUUGUAUUUUAAUGGAGUGCCUAAUACUUUUGGCCAAGGCUGUACAUAUGUAUAUAUUUCCAGUUGCGUUAUGUACUAUAAAUAUAAGAAUAUACAUAUAUGUAUCUAUAGCUGGAAGGGUUAUUUUUUCUGUAUUCAGGAUCUUUUCCACUUCUUCUAUAUUUAUUGCACCUGAAUAAAAAUUUUUAUUUUUUGCAAAAUUUAUUGUUAUUGUUAAGUCUAAAAGUUGUGUGUAUUUCCUGCAAUACCAUUCUUUGUUUAAUUGCUUUAAGGUUAAUCGUUUCUAACAAUUUUUCCAAGUGUGAGUUUAUUAUUUGUUGUUUAUUAUUAUUUUGUUUAAUAUUAUUAUUUUUUUUAUUGCUAUGACAUCGUCAUGGUCUGGAACUCCAGUUAUGAAGCUGAAUAUACUGCCUAGGAAAUUUGUGUCUCCUUGUUAAUAACUGAUCCUUUAGUGCUUCUAUCCUUUGUAUGAGCAUCGUAUCUGCUAUUUGCUCAUUGUUGUGGUGUCCGUUUAUGGAUGUUGUUAUGGUUUCAUAAUAGUCUAAGAUUGUUGUUAGAUUUACUAUGUGCAAUAAAUAAUCUUCUUUGUUGUAUAUGUAAGAUGGGUCUGUUUGUGUUAGAAUCUAUUUUUUGUCUUCGACGUUCGUUAUUUUGUAUGUUUUUAGUUGUUUAUGUAGUAGUAAUAUUGUUAUCAGCAAUAUCCAUAUUUGUUCUGUUGACAUUGCGUAUGUUAUCCUUGUGUAAAUUAAUUACGUUUAUUUAUUACAAAUUCAUUACGUUUAUUUGUUACACAAAUUAAAUUUAUUUAUUUCAACAGUAAGACCAAUUAAUUGAAUAUGUGUCGUUAAAUGUUAAAUUAAAGGUAUGUACUAUGACGAUUUAACUCGUCACCUUCGCCGUUCAGUUCUAGAAUGAUUUUACUUUUGUCUUUUUGCCGCUGUCCAAUUCUUCUUCUUUGAUCAUGUCCCGUUACGCAGCUUUGAGUUGGCGUCUUUCUGCUGCUAAGUGGUAUGCAGUUUUACGCUCUGCGAGAGCUGUUGCAAAACGCAUUGAGUUACGCAACCCAGCAUACAAGUAGCGACGCCGCUAUUCUUGGCGUAACCCAGCAUACAAAAUUGGCCAGCCACAGUGGUACAUUAACUUGUAUGAUCCUCCCCUUGGUUGUUAAGACUGGGUCCUCACGGUUUUCUUUUACUAUAUGUUUUGUAUAACGAUGACUGGAUUUAUCUCUCCUGUCUGUUUUUGAAUGGAUUAUUUGUCCUUUUUGGAAUUCUCUGUUUUCUUUUCUUGUUGUGGUAUUCAAGCAUGUAAUUUUGUUUAUUUUUUUAUUUUUUCUGCUAUGUCAGGAUGUUGGUUCCUGUUAAAGAAUACAUCUACUGGUCUUGCUUCGGUUACUGAAUGUAGUGUCCUGUUGUAUUCUUUUACUGCCUGAAAUAUUUCUUCAUCUGCUGUACUUUCCUUGUCUGCUGCUAAUGUCCUAGCUAUUUCUAGUAUCGUCGAAUGUAACCGUUCGACUUGUGCGUUCGAUGUUGAAUGAUGCACUGCUGUGAGUGUAUGUUUAAUUUGUAGCUUUUUCAUUAGUGCUGUUGUGCCGACGCCGCUGAAUAUAUUUUCGUUAUCUGUCAUCAGUUCGGUACAGUUGGGGAAUAUUUGUGUGAUGACUUCUUCUAUUAUUUCGUGAAAUUGUCGCUUCGUGUCGAGUUUACGUAAGUAUGUGUAUUUAGAGUAGCGACAAAUGCUAGAUAAGUAUCUCGUGCCGCGUAUUUGGAAUAUUCCAUUUGUAUUGAUGUGCCAACUAAAUUGGGUGUUGGCGUUGUUCGGAUUAUGUGUUUAAUUGGUUUUCUUUCAUAUUUGUUCUUUGUACAGUUUGUACAGUGUCUGAUUCGUCUCUAUACCUUUUGAAUCGGUUGCCAAAUGUUUGGACUGCUUAUCUGAAGGGAUUGAAGGUUGGUUGCUGUCUUGGUUGGACUGGUGGGUUGUUUGGUGGUUGUAUGUUUCUUUGAUGCGUAGGUCGUCGGAAUCGUGUUGAGGAGUCUAUUUCCAUAGGUUCUACUCUGGGUUGUUGGAUCCUUUGAGGAAAUGUGUUCCUGUUGUUUAGUGUAUAAUUGUUUUGCGGAUGUGGUCGCAUCCUGGGUAUGUAUUCUAGGUGUUGAUAGCCGACAUCAUGUUGCAUAGUUCUAGCUAUAUCAUGAGCUUCUGUGAGUGAUGCACAAUAUCUGGAGUAAAUGCGUUUUUAAUUGAGGAACUUCUAAUGCCGGACAUGUAUGUUCUCGUGGCUUUUAAUUGUGCUUCUUUAUUAUGUCAUGCUAGGACUGCUUCGUUUUUAUACGUCAUUUCUAACGUGGACAAGAUCAGGUUUAACGCUUGAUUCACUUGAUCGUAGUAUUCAUGUAGUGAUGAAUUUCCUUGUUGUAACCUUUUCAUUUCAUCUUUCAGGACAUACAGUGGUCGUUGGUCGGCAUAGGUUAAGUCAAGCCGAUCGAUGAUUGCAUUAAAGUUAGUUCUGGUGUUAUUGUUAACCAGGACCUGUGAUGCACUGCCGGUUAUUUUCUCUAAAAUUAUGAGCACUGCUUGAGCAAAUAAGUUUGUUCCUCUGAAUUGCAUAUCUAAUGUUAUUCAUGUGAGUGGUCACUAUUUUUCUCCAUGGUCGAUAUUCUUUAGGAUCGCCGCUGAAUGUUCCUAUUAGUUUGAACAUGUUUAGAUCUAUCUCCUGUGCAUUAUUAUAUACACAUACGUCGUCCUCUUCACCGCUUGCGGAGUUAAUGUUGGGUUAGCUAGUUCCAUUGAAGCUAUUUUUCGCUGUAGUUCGGUAACUAUAGUCUGGAGAGCUUGAAUUUCGCCGUCCAUUUUUUAGGUUUUAACUUGUUAUUAAAUUUACACUUUUUAUUUAUUUUACUUGCGUUGAUUUGAAGGAUAAAGGUUAUCCUUUUACUUUUGAUCAGGAGCCACACGCGUAAGUCUUUUAUUCACUGAAUCCUUUUUUGAUGUGUGCCCCACGUUGGGCGCCAAUUAAUAACACUUGGGUUAUUUUAGUCAAAAAAAUAUUUUAGUUCUGCAUUAACAGCAGAAUGUUCUUUAUGCAGUAAUAUUCAAAAUACAAAAGACGAAGCGUGUAUGGUUAUGCUUCUAUUUAUACUAAUGGGUAAUGUACAAUAGAUAUAAUUUGUCGUUCUUGAUAAUGUAGUUUAGUGUUAUCACGUACUUUGGACAUUGACCCUUUGGGUGUGGUCGGUUGUUGCCAUGUGAUAGUGAUGUGUUGUAAGUUACAUGUGCCUUAACUCGCUCGCGAUUGCAACUGAUGUUUCCAAUGCAUUAAGGACUAUGGAAACAUAUUUUAAUAAUGUGAAACAUACACAAGCAUUUAUGUAGGAUAGCCCUUAAAAAUAAAUGCACUUGGUUCAAGUUCAACUUUAUAAUUACACUUUUAUUUAAACGCUUUUAGUUAAACACUUUUAUUUAAAAUACUUAUGUAUAUAAAUGUUAAAUGUUCCUUUAAACUGAAUAUGUGAAGUUUGACCGUCCUAUACGUGUGGCGACUGUUUAACGACUGUGUUCUUGUCCUGUUUGUUAAGUUGGUUGUGCCCUAUCAGUGCUGCCUAUUGUCAUAGGUCAGUGUUGCCCUUUGUAAGUGAAGUGAGUAUGCGUACGUCUUAAUAGGUGUGUCCACUACGUGUUGUCUUGUCAUCGCUUCCCACAUUUAUGAACUUACCUCCCUCCACUUGGCUGCCGGCCGAGUUGGACCUUUUAAGGCAUUUAAAUUAUCUGCUAACUUCGACCAAAGUAUUUGCAGCCCUUGAGGGUUGGCUGGAGUUAGCUUCCGACGUUGCAACUCAGGAUGCUCGUAUAAUGGUGCAGCUGCUCCUGAGUUGUCCUUUCCGUUUUUAUAUGCCUAGAAAUAUAUGAAAUUAUUAUAUAAAUUAAAGGACAAUGUGCUUUCCUUUGUUAAUUUAUUUAAACGUAUGCAAUUUUUCACACUUUAUGGCGAUGUUACUCGCUUGGUUGCUAAUUACUUAAUAAUCUAUUGUCCAUCGAUGUCGCUUUACUAAACCUCUGUCAGCGUUAGUUAGUGCGUUGAGCAGAGCAGCAGCUUCCCUUGCGGUCCUCUACUAAUUGUUGCUAAGCGUAUGCUAAGGUAGGCGAGGUUUGUGGUUGCUUUCGCGUGCCUGGUGCUUUGGCGCUACUGUUGUUGCUCUGCAUGCAGCCGUCCAAGCCAAGCGCUAUCAAAACGCGUGUCCCAUCUAAUACGUAUGUUGUUACCAAGCUAAAGUAAGCGAGAUUUGUUGCUACUUUGGCGUACGGUAGUUUUUGGCGGUGCAAUAACUUGUUGUUAACCCUAGAAGGGUACUGUGGGUAAAAUUUACUCACAUACGGAAUAGAUUUGUUCAUAAAUCAGCAGGUUGGCCACACUGAAAGUCAAGCCACUAGCAGUGCUUGUCCCACUCUGUCAUUAAUCGGCUGCCGCAAGCAUUGAAUGGUGUUGUUUGAUUUAUCGCGCUUGUGGACAAUUUAAAAAAAGUUAGUGAGUAAAAUUUACUUAUCGGUACCCUUUACGUACUAAAUUGUGUGAGUCAAAUUUACUCAUCGGUACUCUUUACGUACUAAAUUGUGUGAGUAAAAUUUACUCAUCGGUACCUAUAAGCGCCUACAAUUUAACCGUACCCUUCUAGGGUUAAGUGAGUGUUAUGCGUUGUUGCCCUGCAUUCAGACACCCAAGCCAAGCGCUAUCACUAAGCGUGGUUUGCCGAGGUACAUACAUAUAUUUAGUAUGUUGUUGUCACCAAGCGCCUGUUGUUAUUGCUAGGCGCGCUCUUAACAUAUUAUAAUAAUAUGAGCAUUAUUAAAGCAUUUGAGUGUGAGUUUGAAAGCAACUCAAUAGGAGGUGGAACGCAAACACUCAUGUUAGGACCAGCAACAUCGAUGUUGGCAACGCCAGUUACCUUAACUUAUAUAUAUAUACUUAAAAUUUGCAAAAUUACUUACAUAUGCUGAUUAUCCAUUUGUGUGUCCAUUUUUGUUUGCUUAUUUUUAUUAAAACAGCUGUUUGACAGCAAAAAGCUUUUUACCUCAUGUGGUGACUUUUUUAAGCUUUUUUCUUAUGAGGUUUGAGCAAGAAUAGCUUCACAAAAUAUGCCUCACAAGAAAUCUCUCAAAUUUUUCCUCCCAACUCAGUUGAGAGGUUUUUUCAGAAUAGAACUGUAAAGUUAUUUUUGUAGUAUUGUUUAGACCGUGCACUUGACACCAGCACAAGAUAUAAACAAUUUCUUAUCAAGGGUAUUUCAAAAUAAUAAUACAUCUGGUGUAUCGUAUAUGAGACGGUAGGUCUAAAUGGGUUAAGAUUGUAAAGUCUAUUUCUUAAAUCAUAGAAUUUACUUGUUAACUCUUCAUUUUCGUGCUGUCUAGAGAGCAUAUUUCGUUUAUUUCGCAGUCUUCAAUAUUUUUUUCUAAUUCUGUUAAUAAGAAUUGAAGUCUGCGAACUAAACCAAGAUUUGGAAAGUAUUUAAUUUUCCUGGGAGUACUAUUUUCUUGAAUUAUAGCUAUCAAUUCGCUUAACUUGGCACAUGCUGUCAAAUAAAGCGUACCUACCGUCCCUUCAACAUCAUUUUUAAAAUAAUUAUAUAUUUUUAUUUUUGGGAUCUUUGAACAAUUCUAAAUAGUUUCGUUGAAAUUCUGACCAUUUUUUGUCCAAACUAUCUUGGAGUUUUUCUAGAUUUCCUAUUUCUUCAUUUAUAUAUUAUAGUAUGGAUAUGAAGUUUUUGCGGUUUUGCAGUCAAAUCUGCUAUACCAUAAUGAGAAAAUACGACAUGGCAUCUUGAGAAUAGUGCUCGUCCGAUCAACAUUCUUUGUAUUUCCAUUAAUCACAUCUCGAAGGUGAAUAUACUCUUCAGAUCGGAGUUUGGUUUGAUUCAACCUCAUGAAUGUUAAUCUCUACGUUUCAAUUUUAACAAACAUGUAGGCAAUGUUUUUUUAUACAAUACACUUUGUUUUUAUUUUAUUUUAAUUCACGUACAAAGUCUUAGUUUAAAUGAUUUUUGUUUUACAUUUAUGUUUUUAAAAUAUAAAUUGCGACUUGCUCGCGGCGCUGGUCAACUUCAACUGUCGUUGUCAGCUGUUCUUGUCCGUGUUAGGGUUCGUUUCAUUAGUUUCGUCAAGUUCGGUCAAUUUGUCAGGGAUGUAAUUACCCCGUUAAGCGCACAAUUUUCUCCUCAAGUGGACUUAUACGUUGUAAACGACAUUGCCUUCCCCUGUGCUCAUCAUUUCUUAUUGCUAGUUAGCUUGCGUUUGAUAUAGCACUUCCAGUCAAUCCAAACCUGUAACAAAACGUUAGAUUUUACAAAUUCGUUUUCAAUUCAAUUUAUACCUUAUCUUUCUCCAUGCAUUUGAGUCUUUUGAUGGUGGACCAAGUGCAUUUAAAUUCUUAAAAAUUAUAUCCCUCUCCUAUUAAAAUAUCUAUCAUCAAAUAAUUAUAUUGGGUUCCAAAAUAAUAAAAGUCUCACCAAAUAAUACCAUCUCUCGAUGACUAAGAGAUGAUUAUGAUUAGUGACACAUCUUAACUUAGAUGACAGAACAUAUUGUUCGCUAAAAUAAUUAUGAUUAACUGCUAUAAUACAUACCUUGAAAGUUGUUUGUUGACCCAAAUGAAGUCAUUUGAAAGCAAUUGUUAUAUUGUUGGAAAUUUGUCAAAAAGUGUAUGGAAUCUGUUCCUAUUUCUGAAACGAAUGAGUGCAAUGUCUCUGGUGGUGGUUCCAAUGGUAUCAAUUUCACUUUACCAUUUGCGCAAUAGAAUCGAUUAGCUUCGUUUUUAUAUGUAUUUCAAUGCCUUACAAUGUGAGCAAACCGAGUGAACGUAUCUAAAUAGCUUAAUAUUUACCGAGAGUGAUAUCAACUAUUUUAAUCUUAGUUAAAGCCUUUUUUCCCGCUUUUCCAUCGCAGUUGCAUAGCUACACCAACUCGUCACUAAAUAAUGACUGCAUUACUUUCUCUACCGACCCCUUUUAUAUAAAAUAUAAUAAUUUUAUAUCAAUAAAUACCUUCUCAGCAAGAGCGCUUACUACAGCUGAUAGCCGAUUUAUAAUGUCUUCUUGCCGAGAUUCUAUUCUACCAAGGGUGUCAAGGAUGUUCUGCAGUACCAACGCAGUAUCGCCACUUUUAUUAGGUUGGAGUUGGGUGGGCCAUACGUUGCGAAUGGGGUUCGGCGAUACGAAAUCGACUCAUUUCUCCUCCUAUGAAGAAAGUUACAAUGCAAAACAUAUAAGUAAAAUAAAGUAAUUUUACCAUCUCGCUACCGUGCACUAAUGCUAUGUAAAAUUAUAAAAUAAAUUAUGAGGAAUUCAAAUAAAUUUAUUCCUUAUUGAAAUAGAAAAAUACUUAUAUUUUAAAUCUACUUUUUUAAUAAUUUGAAUGUCCUCAUCUAUAAUUUUACCUACUAGAAUACCUAAACCAGAUGAGGACACCAAAGGCUCUCUGAAAACAUCACCAACUUUUGUCAAAAUAACACAACGAAAAGUAUCAGGUUGGUUUUGUUGGUUGACAAUUUUCAAAGACCCUAUUUUAUUGCUAAAAAAGAAACUAUCUUUAUCUUUUUGCAAUUAAUAAUAAACCUAUCUAUUUGAGGAAUUUUUAUUUUGAAAUUUCGUAAGACUUGUUUGCCUUGACGUAUAUUGCGUUGAGUUCAACUCUUUUUAUUUCCAGAGUAUAAAUAGACUCAUCUUCGGGUUGGUUGUAGUAGUGCUCCUCAAUAUAUUCAAAUAAAUCGGAAAUACAGAACUUGAAUUCUUCCAUUAUCGAUAAAAAAUCCACUUACCUUUUUUUUCUAAACGUCUGUCGGUAAAGUUAAGUCCCAUACUAUCAAAAUUCCCGAAAUGCCUUGAGAGGCUCAUGGCCGGUAAGCAGGAAACCAGAAGGAGUCAGUCGCUAUAUGCACAACACUUACAGAGGGACUCGAGCUGCCCAAGCAGAGAGUCCAUCAUGAGGUUCCAAAUAUAUGAACCCAUUCUCAGCUUAGUUA